rnacentral:tRNA from 1 species
GCGGCUGUAGCUCAGUCGGUAGAGCAUCACGUUGCCAACGUGAAUGUCACGAGUUCGAGUCUCGUUAGCCGCUCCA